rnacentral:rRNA from 1 species
CCCCUAGAUGUUCUGGGCCGCACGCGCGCUACACUGAUGAACGCAACGAGACCACCUGUACCGAAAGGCAUGGGUAAACUUGUGAAAGUUCAUCGUGAUGGGGAUAGAUUAUUGCAAUUAUUAAUCUUCAACGAGGAAUUCCUAGUAAGCGCGAGUCAUCAGCUCGCGUUGAUUACGUCCCUGCCCUUUGUACACACCGCCCGUCGCUCCUACCGAUUGAAUGGUCCGGUGAAAUCUUCGGAUUGCUGGAUAGGACUUCAUUGACCUAUCUGCGAGAAGUUGCUUGAACCUUAUCAUUUAGAGGAAGGAGAANUCGUANCA